rnacentral:rRNA from 1 species
AAGGAAUAUUGGACAAUGGAGGCAACUCUGAUCCAGCCAUGCCGCGUGAAGGAAGACGGCCUUAUGGGUUGUAAACUUCUUUUAUACAGGAAGAAACCUUUCCACGUGUGGAAAGCUGACGGUACUGUAAGAAUAAGGAUCGGCUAACUCCGUGCCAGCAGCCGCGGUAAUACGGAGGAUCCAAGCGUUAUCCGGAAUUAUUGGGUUUAAAGGGUCCGCAGGCUGUUUGUUAAGUCAGAGGUGAAAUCCUACCGCUCAACGGUAGAACUGCCUUUGAUACUGGCAAACUUGAGUUAUUGUGAAGUAGUUAGAAUGUGUAGUGUAGCGGUGAAAUGCAUAGAUAUUACACAGAAUACCGAUUGCGAAAGCAGAUUACUAACAAUAUACUGACGCUGAGGGACGAAAGCGUGGGUAGCGAAC